GACGAACGCUGGCGGCGUGCUUAACACAUGCAAGUCGAACGGUAAGGCCCUUCGGGGUACACGAGUGGCGAACGGGUGAGUAACACGUGGGUGAUCUGCCCUGCACUUCGGGAUAAGCCUGGGAAACUGGGUCUAAUACCGGAUAGGACCACUGCCUGCAUGGGUGGUGGUGGAAAGCUUUUGCGGUGUGGGAUGGGCCCGCGGCCUAUCAGCUUGUUGGUGGGGUGAUGGCCUACCAAGGCGACGACGGGUAGCCGGCCUGAGAGGGUGACCGGCCACACGGGGCCUGAAAUACGGCCCGGACUCCUGCGGGAGGCAGCGGUGGGAAAUAUUGCACAGUGGGCGCAAGCCUGAUGGAGCGACGCCGCGGGAGGGAUGCCGGCCUGCGGGUUGUAACCCUCUUUCAGCCCCGACGAAGCGCAAGUGACGGUAGGUGCAGAAGAAGGACCGGCCAACUACGUGCCAGCCGCCGCCGUAA
rnacentral:rRNA from 1 species